rnacentral:lncRNA from 1 species
AUGGGACAACACACCUCUCAUGUUCAAAAGUGGUACACGAAAGCCUCUCCAGGCUGUUCUAGUCGCACCCACCCCUGUGCCCAGGCAGGAUGCCCUCCUUACACUGGCCCUUCUCCUCUUGCUCCCUCAGAAUUGCAGUCACAGCCAGGAGCGAUAAAAACCUUUUACCCUAAUUGGAUGCCGCACACAACUAACUCUUCACAUGAAAAAGACAGGAACAGUCAUGAAAAUCGUGCCCUCUCCCCUGCUCCAGGAUUGUGGACACUUCUCAAAGCACUGGCAUAGUGCAGCCCGCUUCCAGAGCUUUGAUGCAGACUUGACGCUCCUCUCCACGUCUCCUGCUUCGGGGACCUUGACAGGUUGUGAUGGAGAGAGAAAAGCUAAGAACUGAGCAGAGGUCCAGGCCUUUGUGAGAGGUUAGUGCAGGGGUUGCACCCCAGCGAGGAGAAAAAUUAAGGCCUUAGACCUCCAGCUGGAAGAAGCCCCAGCCCCAGAAAGUGGUACUGGCCCCUACCCCUACUUUCCCCCCUCCCCCAGCUCAGCCAGCUGCUGGAGAGGGAAGCUGGGGAGGAAGGAGGCCGGGUGAUUAAGAGCUCCGGUUGUCAGGGCUGGGGCCAGGGGGCACGCCCCCUGGGUGACAUUUUCUCGCAUUGUGUCCUCAGAACAAAAACGAGUCUUAUUUGAGGACUAGGACGCGGGUGGGGGCAGGGGGCCCAGGCAGCCGAGUGGAAUCGUGGCUCCAGGGAACAACGAUUACUCAUCAAAGGCCAGGGCAGCCUUUUGUGUGCCCUCCGCAGCCCGCCCGUGCCUGACCACAGGCCCCCAGCCCUAGACUGGCUCCCCGUCAGCCCCCGCAAGAGCAGGGCUGGUGGGGGAGGGCCUGGCGAUCGUGUGUGGGCAAAGAGCUGCGGCAGGCAUAAUGGGGGGAGGGGGUGACCAGGGCAGGCUUCCUGGAGGAGGGGAGGCACGAGGAGGAGAAUGGCUGCGGGCUAAGGGGAGGGAAAAAUGGAGUGAGUCUCUGGAGACAAGGGGGUGAGCGCGGGGGAGAGGGAGGGGGCAGAACCUAAGGUGUCAAUUCAGCCCCCGGAUGGAGAGUCCUGGAGGGGUUGGGGGAGGGGGCCGCUUCCUGCUAUGAUGGCUAUUUUGGGGCCUGAAUCAAAUCAAAUCCGCCGCAGCCCGCAGAGCCCCCAGCAGCUGCGCAGAACAGCUGUCCCGCCGAGGGCGCGGAGCGGCUGGAAGCUGCUUCCUGCCCCGCACUGAUCUCUCCCGCCGCCCCGGGGUGUGG